UCCCAGGUGGCUCAGUGGUAAAGAAUCUGCCUGUCAAGCAGAAGACAUGGGUUCGAUCCCAGGGUUGGGAA
rnacentral:tRNA from 1 species